rnacentral:rRNA from 1 species
GAUGAACGCUGGCGGCGUGCUUAACACAUGCAAGUCGAACGGAAAGGCCCAAGCUUGCUUGGGUGCUCGAGUGGCGAACGGGUGAGUAACACGUGGGUGAUCUGCCCUGCACUUUGGGAUAAGCCUGGGAAACUGGGUCUAAUACCGGAUAGGACCAUCGUUUAGUGUCGGUGGUGGAAAGUUUUUCGGUGUGGGAUGAGCUCGCGGCCUAUCAGCUUGUUGGUGGGGUAAUGGCCUACCAAGGCGUCGACGGGUAGCCGGCCUGAGAGGGUGUACGGCCACAUUGGGACUGAGAUACGGCCCAGACUCCGACGGGAGGCAGCAGUGGGGAAUAUUGCACAAUGGGCGCAAGCCUGAUGCAGCGACGCCGCGGGGGGGAGGACGGCCUUCGGGUUGUAAACUCCUUUCGCCAAGGACGAAGCGUUUUGUGACGGUACUUGGAGAAGAAGCACCGGCUAACUACGUG